rnacentral:rRNA from 1 species
GAUGAACGCUGGCGGCGUGCCUAAUACAUGCAAGUCGAGCGAACGGACGAGAAGCUUGCUUUUCUGAUGUUAGCGGCGGACGGGUGAGUAACACGUGGAUAACCUACCUAUAAGACUGGGAUAACUUCGGGAAACAGGAGCUAAUACCGGAUAAUAUUUUGAACCGCAUGGUUCAAAAGUGAAAGACGGUCUUGCUGUCACUUAUAGAUGGAUCCGCGCUGCAUUAGCUAGUUGGUAAGGUAACGGCUUACCAAGGCAACGAUGCAUAGCCGACCUGAGAGGGUGAUCGGCCACACUGGAACUGAGACACGGUCCAGACUCCUACGGGAGGCAGCAGUAGGGAAUCUUCCGCAAUGGGCGAAAGCCUGACGGAGCAACGCCGCGUGAGUGAUGAAGGUCUUCGGAUCGUAAAACUCUGUUAUUAGGGAAGAACAUAUGUGUAAGUAACUGUGUACAUCUUGACGGUACCUAAUCAGAAAGCCACGGCUAACUACGUG